AUAGGUACAACGUGGUUAAACGUUUCAAGUUUCCGAAAGUGGAAGGGAUGAGACCUGUGAGAUUGUUGGUAUCCGAGUAUAUCUCAACAAGGUUGGCGAGAUUUCCCAUUUCUGGAGGAAUGGAACCGGAAAGUUGAUUUUCAUAGAGAUACAAAGAGGCCAAGUUGCUCAAAUUACCCAAAGAAGCAGGAAUAGAACCCUCCAGUUGGUUGGUGUACAAAGCAAGCUCAUAAAGAGAUGACAACUGACCGAUUUCAUGAGGAAUUGAACCAUUGAGCUGAUUUUGAACCAGGUGCAGGACCUCAAGGUUAGUUAAUAGGCCAAUUUCCGGUGGAAUCCCUCCUGAGAACUGGUUGGUGGACAGAUCAAGGUAUUUGAGCUUGGAGAGGAGACCGAUUUGGGGUGGGAUAGGACCAGAGAGGUUGUUGAUGCAGACAUCAACGUAUGCAAGAUUGGGAAAAGAUGAAAAUGAGAAGGCUUGGAGCGUACCUCUUAAACCGGACUCUGUGAGGUUUAUUCUGAUGACACUCCCUGCAUGGUUGCAGGAUAUCCCAUACCAUUUGCAUGGACCGGUUGCCGUUCCAUGGUGGGUAGAAGAAUUGGUGGAGUUGUUAGGAUCCGGAUAAAGAGUCCACGAAAGGAGGAAAGAAUGGUUAUGGUUGUGAAGGGUAGAUUUCCAUUUGAGGAGAGCUUGUGUUUCUUCAUUAGAAUAAGAAGAAACAUGAUCUGAACAAAUUAACAUAACCAAGAGGAGUAGGGAAACAAGGGAGAGCAUUUUCUGUAAGGUUGAGAACGCCAUGUAUAGUUUUAGUUGAUAAAUUGCAUAUGCUGCUUCACAUCUUCUUUUAUACACAUUUGGUUCCUUUGGUCCUUUUAGGUGACUGUCUUGUUCACGCGUAUUCCCACAGGGAAGAAAGUUGCGUUUUAAUGUCAAGAUCAAGGUCCUUUGAAGCAUGGCUCCUUUUUCUUUCUUUUUUCCAUGGAUUGCACUGUACUAGUAUGGUGGUCUUCCUGUGUGAUUAUGGUGGUUGAAAUCUUCUCUUUUUGCAAAUUUGGAAAUUAAGUUUAGCAGGUGUUGUUGAACAAUAUUUUUAAUUGUUUUUAGUUGAUUUCACUUAUUUUUAAGGGUUGUUUUAAAAAAAAAAAAAUUAUAUAAAUAGGAAGAAUGAUUAAAAAUAAAAUAAUAGAUAUAAAAAUUAUUUUUAAAACAUAUUUAAGAACAUUAAAAAUAAGUUAAAAAUACCAAUUUCUUAAACAAAAUUUUAUUUUACAAAAUAUCAGAGAACAAUUUUAAUUUUUUUUUUCAAAAAUUGUUAUUCAUAAUUGUUUGUAAAAAUAUUCUAUUAAAUAGAGCCUAAUUCUUUUUGGGUCUUUACUUUCAUGUUUAUAAUCAUAAUGGUUUGCCCUUUAUUAACAAACUUGAAGGUUUGUUUUAGUUAAAUAAUUGCAAAAGAAAAUUUUAGUAUGUCAUAUUUAAUCACUUAAGUGGAUUUAUUAAAACUUAGGUGAUGUUUUUAAUAGUAUUUAAUAAUGUUAAGUAUUAAGUUGUUUAUUUUUUUUUAAUAUUUUAUUUCAAUUAAGUAUUAAAAAAUAUAGAAAAAUUAAUAUGUUGCUUUUGAUAUUAAGAAAAAGUCAAAUAUUUUGAUUUUUUUCUAUUUAAUGAAAAAAUUUAAGAAAUAAGUAAUAAGUUAACAAAAAGUGAAAAAAUAAAUAAUUUGAAAUCUAAAAGCAAAUUACUUUAAAAAAAAAAGUUAAAAAAAAUGUCAUCUUAAUAAUUAAUAUUUAGAAAAUUUUAAAGAAAGUGAAAAAGAAAAAAAUGAAGUGAAAAAAAUGGAUUUUAAGUUAAUAAUUUAUUUUUAUAUGGUUUUUAAAACUUAUUUUAAUUAUUUUCUUUUAUAUAUAAAAAUUAAAUUAUUUAAAAACAUUUAAAAAUUUAUAAAUAAUUUUAAUUAUAUUUACUAACUUUUUUUUAUGUAUUUUAAUCAAACAUUAGAAAAUACUUUUUUUAAAUAUCUUUUCGUCUCUCCUUUCUUAGAACUAAAGAUAAGAAUGAUAAUUAAAUAUGAUUUAAAUUUAAAUUAUAUUUAACUUGUUGACUUAACAUUUAUUAUCUAAUUUUUAAUUUUUAAGUAUUAAGAUUAUUUGUUCAUAUUACUUAAUUUUUUAAAAAUUAUUAACCUCAUAUUAUCAAGUAACAAGAUUAUUUGAGAGGUACAAGGAAGAUAAAGGGACAUGGGCUGUUCAGGUAAAAAAAAAAAAAUGAAAUUUAGAAAAAGUUAAUUUUUUUGAGCUGUUAUUCUAAGUUUUUUUUUUUUUUUAGGUUUUAUAGGUUUGAUAGGACUUUAUGAUUGGACUCCAUAAUUUCCCUUUGGUCCUUUUCAUUUUUGAAUUUCACUGAGUUUAGCCCACUCUAUUUAACCCAAUUUUUAAGGCCCAUUGAGUUUAUAUUGAAACCCAGGUCUACUUGAUAAUAUGAGGUUAAUAAUUUUAUACACACUCACUUUGUAAGAUUGAAUCCCAGCCAUUGAUUUUAUAUUGAAACCCUAACCCAGAGGUACUUUUAGAGUCUUUAGUAUGAUAAGAAUAGGAUAUAUAUAAUAUCAUUUGGUAGGAUAUGAUAGAUACUUAUAUUUUAGAAUAUAUUUUUUGAGAAAUAUGAUAUUUUUGAAUAUUAUGUAUUUACUAUAUAUUAUAUUAUAUUUAUAUUAUUUAUAAAAUAAAUAAAUAAAUUAUUUUUUAAAUAAUAGAUACUUAUAUUUUAAAAUAUAUUUUUUGAGAAAUAUGAUAUUUUUAAAUAUUAUCUCUAAAUAGUGUAAAGUAUUAUAUAUAUAUAUAUAUAUAUAUAUAUAUAUAUAUAUAUAUAUAUAUUUAUAAAAUGAAUUAUUUAAUUAAUUAAAAAUUAAUUUUUAAUUAUUUAAUAUUUAUUUAAAAUAAAUAUCAUAUUGAUCCAAGUGAAGCUCAUCCCUUGAAUAGUAAUUCCAAAAGUGCUACAGUCAGCAAGAAAUUGCAUGAUAUGCUCUUGCUUUGCUUCUCCUGUAGCUUUAGCCUUUUCACAGAUCAUCUGUCUAAGGUUUUCAAGAAGGUCCAAAUUUUUCAGCUUGAAAAAUGAAAAUCUGGAAAUUUGACAUUCUUGGCUUUCUUGAGAAAGUUUUGAAUCUUCAUUUGGUUUUGAAAGUUCUUUUUGAAAUUCAUUUUGAAAAUCUUUUGAAAAUGCAUCUUUGGAUCCUUUUGCUUUUUUCCUGCAAAUGAAAUUUUCAAGAUCUGUAUCCAUUGGUGUGCAAUGUAUAUCAGAACUUGAAGGGUUAGAAAAACUUUCUAAUUUAUCAUUUAACUGUUUAAAAUGGAAAGAUAAUGCAUUUAAAGCUUCCAACUUUUGAAUAUCACUUUUUGCAUUCCAGAGGUUGUCUAAAAUGCAUUUUUGUGAUCUGUCUAAACCUUCAAUAUCUUUAUGAAUUCGAAAUGACAUAUUACAUUUAGGGAAUACUGGAAGAGUAAAUUUCCCAAAUGUAAUUCUUUCUUGCUCCAUCUGUAAACAAAAUUCAAAUAUUAGUAUCUCUAUUGAAGAAUAAAACAAAUAUCUAAUGAUUUUGUCUUUAUCAUACCAAAUUUGAAAAUAUAUUGAGUUUAUGAGAGGAACAUAAUUUCUAAUAAUGAUGUUAAAAUGAGGUUUUGAAUAUUUUGAAAUCACAUUUAUUGACUUAUAUGAGCAUGCACAAAUACCAUCACAAUCUUUUUGAUUAUCUGAUUCUUCUUCUAGACUUGACUCGUCACUUGAUAUUUCUUGAGUUAUAAGGAUUUGAUUAUCUUCUUCUGAUUCAUAAUUUUCACUUGAUUCAUCAUUUUCUUUAUCAAUCAUUAAUCCUAUCAUUAGAUUUUUGAGUUUAUCACUUAUUUCUAAUGAAUUGAUUUUAUUUUCUAAUUGACAAUCUCUUGAAUAAUGACCUACUUUUCCACAUUUAUAACAAGUAGGUGUUUUCUUUUUUAAAUCUGAGGAUUGUUUUUAUCAGUGUUAUGAGUGAUUUCAACUGAAUCGGUGUCUACCAGGAUGAACUCAUAGAAUUGACGAGUUUUCAAAGGAUCAUUUGAAUUAAAGUUGACUCCUUGAGGAAAGAUGUAAGGAAGAAUUUUAGGAAUCUCUUCAAAAUUGAACUCUGGCUCAAUGAAAGCAAUUUCUAAUGUUUUGGGUUUUUUGACAUAUUGACUAUAGGAAUAUGAAGGAGAAGGAAACUGAGAAGGAGAAGGUAAUGUUGAAAUAGUGUUGGGGCUUGAUUUACUCUGAACAACAAUAUUUUUAGGGGAUGAUUUAGAAGCUUGAAUAAAACUUUUUGAAGGUUGAAGAGGAGGAAAAUCUGGACUCAAAACUUGAAAAGAAUUUGAUGUCUGCAAAGGAAAAGUAGGACGAACAUUUGAAAAGUUUGAAAUCAUAGCAUAUGAUGCUUUGGUUUUCUUGGAUGAUGAAGGAAGUUGAGGCCUAACGGGAGUACCCAUUAGGAUGGAGAAGGAUCCUUACCCUGCAAAAACUCCCGAGUAAGGAAGUCAGGAAGGGAAUUCAACUCUCCUUUGAUAAAUUCGAUUUCAAAAUCAAAGUUUGAAAGUAAAGCUUGCCAUCUUGCAAAAAUUUGUUUUGAAACCAAAUUUUUAACAUCUUUUUGUAAAAUAUCUUUUGCAGCUUUGCAAUCGAUUUUCAAAAGAAAUUUCUUGUUUAUCAAAUCACUUUGAAAUUUUGAAAUACACAAAACUAUUGAUAAAACUUCUUUUUUGACAGUUGAAUAAUUUAUUUGAGCGCCCAACCAGAUCCCUGAAUGAUAUCUAACUAUAUGCACUUGAUUGUUAUAUUCUUGCUUUAAUAUGCCUCCAUAACCUAAAUUAGAUGCAUCUGAUUCUACAAUGAGUAAUGCAUUUGGAUGAGGAAUGCUGAUGCAUGGUAAUCUUUUGACUCUUUGUUUAAUUUCUUUAACCAGACUGGUAUGAUGCUCAUUCCAUGCAGGUGCAUUUUUUGUAAGUCUUUUGUAUAAUGGUUCACAAAUGAUUCUCAAAUCUUUGAAGUAAUCAGAAACAUAAUUUAAACAUCCUAGAAAUCUUUGCAAUUGUUUUUUAUCUUUUAUUUCAUCAGGAAAUUUGUCAGCGAAUUCUAUUGAUCUUUGAAUCGGUUUUGUUUUUCCUUGAAAAAUUUCAUGACCUAAAAAUCUGAUUUUUGUUUGAAACAAUUUCAUUUUUGGAGCAGAACAAGCCAUUCCAUUUGCUUUAAUGACAUUAAAAAACUUUUUCAAAUGAAUAAAAUGUUUUUCUAAUGAAUCAGAAAAUACUAAAACAUCGUCAAUAUAUACAAUGAUGAACUGAAAAUGAGGAUUAAAAAUAUCAUUCAUAAUAUUUUGAAAUUCAGAAGGGGCAUUUUUGAGACCAAAAGGCAUGACAUUCCAUUCAUAAUGACCAAAAGGGACAGUAAAAGCAGUUUUGUACCUAUCUUCUUCUUUAAUUUGAACUUGCCAAAAUCCUGAUUUCAUAUCAAAUUUUGAAUAAAUGACAGAACUAUGAAGUCUUUUAAGUAAAUCUUGCUUAUUAGGAAUAGGGUAUCUUAUCCAUUGUAAUACUUUAAUUAAAGGUUUAUAAUUAAUGACUAAUCUAGGUGCUCCUCUUUCUAUCUCAGCAGCAUUUUGAACAUAAAAAGCAGCACAACUCCAAGGAGAUUUUGAGGGUCUAAUUAAUUUCUUCUUUAAUAAUGAAUCAAUUUCUUGUUUGCAAUAUUUCAAAAGUUUUUCAUUCAUUUGAAUCGGCCUAGCCUUAGUAGGAAUUUUGGACUCAUCAAAAUUUUGAAUGUAAGGCAAACUUAUCUCAUGUUUCUUUCUUGACCAAAAAGCAUUAGGAAGAUCAGAACAAAUUUCAUUUUGAAAAAGAUCUUGAAUCUCUUUAAUUUUCUUUUGAACUUUAUCUUCUAAGAGUUGUUCAUCUACCUUUUUAUAUUGAAUUUCUUUUGAUAGAUAAUUUAUAUGAGCUUUCUUUCUUUGAAUUAAAUUUAUGUUCUUAUUUAUUGAAUCACUUUGAACUUGAUGUAUUUCUUUUUUAGUUAAUGGAUAUAUAAAGGGAAAAAAUAUGGUAUUUCCUAAUAUUGUAGUUUUGACACCUUCAUCAUUUACUUGAAAAGGGUAAAGUAAGGUAAUAAAAGGAGUUCCUAAUAUUAGAGGUUCAUUCAUAUUUUGUACUAAUAUAAAUUGAGUUCUAAAACAAUAAUUAUCUUGACAUAUAUGAACAUUUUGAAGUUUAUAUUUUAUUUCUAAUUUUCCUUUAUUUGCAGCAAAAAGUUCUUGUCCUGUUUUUUCAUAAUAUUUAGUAGGAAUUAUUCCUUCUUGAAUACAAUUCAUAUCAGCUCCCGAGUCUAUUAAUGCUACUAUUUCUAUUUCAAAAUCUUCAACUAUAAUUUUUAUAUUUGUAUACCAUCUUUGAAAAUAUAUUUUUGAUAUUGUAUUUAUAAAUGAUUCUAUAGGAGUUAUUUUAUUAGGUAUUAUUAUUCCUGGUUCUUGNNNNNNNNNNNNNNNNNNNNNNNNNNNNNNNNNNNNNNNNNNNNNNNNNNNUAUUUGAAAAACCAAAGGAAAAAAGGAAUAGUCAUCUUAACUUGUUGCAUAUAUUUUUCAUAUUGUUUUCUUAAUGCAUUUCUAACUUGAGGAGGAAGUUGUUGAAAAUAAUUUCUUUUUGCCGUAUUUUCAGGAGAAAAAUAAUUUGCUUUAAUUAAUUCUACUUCAGGAACAAAAUGAUUUCUUUUAAUGUAUUUUUUCUAAUGAUAUUUAUGUUUAAAGGAGGUUUAUCUUGAAAGAAAAUUUUUGACUCAGACUCUUCUUCAAAAAGAGAAAUUUCAGGAACAAAGUUUGAACUAUUUUUUAGUUGAUUUUCUAUUUGAUUUAAUUCUUCAUUAAAUUUUGAAUUAUUAAAUUUUAUAUGAUGACUCCAUGAUGAUGCAGCUACUGAUGCAGAUGAUGAUGCAGUAGAUGCAUUGAAAAUCUCAUUAUCUUAUAUGAAGAACUUUCUAAAUUAUAUGCAGAAUUAUUUAAUGCAGAUGCAGAACUUUCAUGGGACCUAAGAGAUCUGGAAGAACUAUUUCUACUUAAUUCCCUAAUAAUAUUACUCAUUGUCACAGAAAAUAAUCACAAUUUUAUCCUUAAUCAAUUCAGAUAAUUUCCUGAACAGGGACCACCACAAGCGGAUCAACACGGGACUUACGCUCCUUCUGCCCUUAAACACCGCUUAUCACAGGCUGACCAAACCGUUCACAGGAAAUUCAACCCGAACUAAGUCAGGACUAAAUCUGCGAUUAAUCACUGUUCCAACUCGUAACAUCACUCGGUUCUCAAGCAGAAAAUGGCUCUGAUACCAUUUGCACCCAGGACAUACAACAGUUCGUGCAUGCAAUAAUUAAGUAAUAAUUAAGCAAUAAUUAGCAAUAAUUAAAUCUGUCUAAUUAUCUCCAAGCAUAAAAACUGAAAUAUUUAAUGUCUAAUACUGUCUAAUUUAUUGCAGAAAUUUAAGCAUAAUAAAACAAAUAUUUGAAUCUGAAAAUAUUGUUUAUUGAAAAUAUACCUUGAUUACAGAGAGCUGAUGACUACAGGUUGUUGACAGCAGAGGAAUGACUCUAAUUCAAAAAGAAAAUUACAAAAGAAAAUUUUUGAACUCUCAGAAAUUUUUUGAAACUAUCUCUUGGCUGUUGGAACUCUCCCAACUCUUGGAACUCUUGAACCCUUGCCGACCUCUCACCCUAGCCGACCUCUGCCUGAUGAAGAAGGUUGAAGCUCCUUAUAUAGGUGAGGAUUCGGACUUUAGAUGAAUCUUCAAUCUUGAAAGUUUUGGAAUUUCAUCACAUGUAGGCCAGGUGGAGCAUUCUGCAGAAGAAAGAGUGAGGGAAGAUUUCAAAAUAUUCAAAACCUCAUUUUAACAUCAUUAUUAGAAAUUAUGUUCCUCUCAUAAACUCAAUAUAUUUUCAAAUUUGGUAUGAUAAAGACAAAAUCAUUAGAUAUUUGUUUUAUUCUUCAAUAGAGAUACUAAUAUUUGAAUUUUGUUUACAGAUGGAGCAAGAAAGAAUUACAUUUGGGAAAUUUACUCUUCCAGUAUUCCCUAAAUGUAAUAUGUCAUUUCGAAUUCAUAAAGAUAUUGAAGGUUUAGACAGAUCACAAAAAUGCAUUUUAGACAACCUCUGGAAUGCAAAAAGUGAUAUUCAAAAGUUGGAAGCUUUAAAUGCAUUAUCUUUCCAUUUUAAACAGUUAAAUGAUAAAUUAGAAAGUUUUUCUAACCCUUCAAGUUCUGAUAUACAUUGCACACCAAUGGAUACAGAUCUUGAAAAUUUCAUUUGCAGGAAAAAAGCAAAAGGAUCCAAAGAUGCAUUUUCAAAAGAUUUUCAAAAUGAAUUUCAAAAAGAACUUUCAAAACCAAAUGAAGAUUCAAAACUUUCUCAAGAAAGCCAAGAAUGUCAAAUUUCCAGAUUUUCAUUUUUCAAGCUGAAAAAUUUGGACCUUCUUGAAAACCUUAGACAGAUGAUCUGUGAAAAGGCUAAAGCUACAGGAGAAGCAAAGCAAGAGCAUAUCAUGCAAUUUCUUGCUGACUGUAGCACUUUUGGAAUUUCUAUUCAAGGGAUGAGCUUCACUUGGAUUUCUUGUUAUGACAAUACUUAUAAUAAUUGUCCAAAGACCGAUCCCUUGUGUAGAGAAAUUCCAUUAGAAAGGCAUGACUGUAAGUGUGCUCUUACUUACAGUAUAUGCAAAGCCAACAUUAACCUAGACAGUUAUAAACCAAUAGUCAGUCAAUAGAGUUAACUCCAUCCCUCCUCAUGGACUAUGGAGUUCUUUAUCAAUUGAUUUUCUCUCAUCCUGAUCAAACUGAUAAAUUUGGAAGAAAAUUAGUUGUUUGUGUUUUAAAUGCAUUCAUCAAUGAUUUCAAAUCUGUCGAACUCAUCAUAGAAAGUAAACCUCCUGAAUGGUCGAAUGAUGGAGGAGUCUACCCUGCUCAACAUCUCAUUUUACUCAAAGCCAAUCAGAGAAAACAUCAGCUGUUUGGUACAGAGGACCCUUGGCCCUGUACUAAAUCCAGUCUCAAAAAACAAAUCAGACAUUGGAGAUCAAGAAUGAUUGCAAGAGACCUUGAUUCCGAGAUUUAUAGUUCUUCUAACUAUAAUCUCAUUGCUGAAGAUAAUAUUCAAAAAAUCAUCUUUGCAAAUAACUUUUAUGAAGUCCCUCUUUUGUUUCAAACUCAAUUUACUUAUCUUGUUGAUAAGUAUAAAAGAGAAUAUGUCCUUGAAGAAGAAGCCAGAAAAACUUUUGAGAAAUAUCUCUUAGAAAUGCUCAGCUAAGAGAUAUCAAGAAUCAAGAAUCUUUUGUACAUCUGUAAAGUAGCUCUCUUAUGAUUAUCCAGUAAAAAAAAAAAAAAAAAAAAAAAAAAAAAGAACAGUAUAUGAAGUCUGAAGAAGUGCACAGUGCACAGUUUGUAAGUAAAAAAAAAAAGUGAAUAGUGUUUUGUGAAUAGUAAAUCCGUCCUUUAAAGUAAAAAGCAAGAUGACUCAUUACCCAUGUGACCAAAUGAAGAAGAAGAAAGCAAAUUUACCUCCUGCAUACACGUGGAAGACAUCAAAGGCAUAAUGCCUUCUUGAAAGCCCGAAGCCUUUGCUAUAAAUAGGGCUCAAAGGCUUCCUCCCAAGGCAGAGGUCGGCAAGGGUUCAAGAGCUUGGUAGAGAGUUCCAAGAGAGAUAGUUUCAAGAGUGAAAAAAUUUGAGAGUUCAAAAUUUCUGAGAGUUCAAAAAUAUUUUCUUGUAAUUUUCUUUUUGAGUUAGAGUCAUUCCUCUGCUGUCAACAACCUGUAGUCAUCAACUCUCUGUAUUGAGGUAUAUUUUCAAUAAACAAUAUUUUAUUCAAAUAUUUGUGUUAUUAUGCUUAAAUUUCUGCAAUAAAUUAGACAGUAUUAGACAUUAAAUAUUUCUGUUUUUAUGCUUGGAGAUAAUUAGACAGAUUUAAUUAUUGCUAAUUAUUGCUUAAUUAUUACUUAAUUAUUGCGUGCAUGAACUGUUGUAUGUCCUGGGUGCAAAUGGUAUCAGAGCCAUUUUCUGUUUGAGAACCGAGUGGUGUUACGAGUUGGAACAGUGAUUAAUCGCACAUUUAGUCCUGACUUAGUUCGGGUUGAAUUUCCUAUGAACGGUUUGGUCAGCCUGUGAUAAGCGGUGUUUAAGGGCAGAAGGAGCGUAAGUCCCGUGUUGAUCCGCUUGUGGUGGUCCCUGUUCAGGAAAUUAUCUGAAUUGAUUAAGGAUAAAAUUGUGAUUAUUUUCUGUGACAAUGAGUAAUAUUAUUAGGGAAUUAAGUAGAAAUAGUUCUUCCAGAUCUCUUAGGUCCCAUGAAAGUUCUGCAUCUGCAUUAAAUAAUUCUGCAUAUAAUUUAAAAAGUUCUUCAUAUAAGAUAAUGAGAUUUUCAAUGCAUCUACUGCAUCAUCAUCUGCAUCAGUAGCUGCAUCAUCAUGGAGUCAUCAUAUAAAAUUUAAUAAUUCAAAAUUUAAUGAAGAAUUAAAUCAAAUAGAAAAUCAACUAAAAAAUAGUUCAAACUUUGUUCCUGAAAUUUCUCUUUUUGAAGAAGAGUCUGAGUCAAAAAUUUUCUUUCAAGAUAAACCUCCUUUAAACAUAAAUAUCAUUAGAAAAAAAUACAUUAAAAGAAAUCAUUUUGUUCCUGAAGUAGAAUUAAUUAAAGCAAAUUAUUUUUCUCCUGAAAAUACGGCAAAAAGAAAUUAUUUUCAACAACUUCCUCCUCAAGUUAGAAAUGCAUUAAGAAAACAAUAUGAAAAAUAUAUGCAACAAGUUAAGAUGACUAUUCCUUUUUUCCUUUGGUUUUUCAAAUAUAGGAAACCCCUUAAAAGAAUUGCAACAUUAACUUCAAGAAAAGCAAUAGAAAAUUCUCCACAUAAUAAAAAAGAGUCAAGUAAAGAAUCAAAAGAAGAAUUAAGUGAAACAAAAUUUAAUAAAAUUUUGUUUUCUUCUGCCCCGGGUGAGGUGGAGGAAACAGAAACAAAAACAAAAACAUCAACAGAAACAUCAAAACCAACAAAGAUAGAAAAUCCAAAAGAAAUCAAAAAGAUAAAUGUAAUAUCGUCAAAAGUAGAUAAGCAAAUAUUUUUUGAUGUUGUAGACAAAAUUCAAGAUAAAGAAAUACAAAGAAAUUAUUUACAAAAUUUAAAAAAUUUAAUUCUCACUGAAAAUCCAAAUAAAACUCAAGACAUCAAACCUAAUCAAUACUCAAUGGAUGAAAUUUAUAAUAGAUUCAAAAAGACUCAAAGGCCAAUAACUAUUAAAGACUUGGAAGAAGAAAUAAAAGAAAUAAAAAGUCAAAUAAAUCAAUUAAAAUUAGAUAAUGAACAAAUAAAAUUAGAAAAUGAAAUAAUAAAACAAGAAAAUGAUCAAAUAAAACAAGAGAAUGAACAAAUUAGAAACGUAAUACAAUAUAAACAAGAUUUAGCCGAAACUUCUGAAAACCAAGAACCAGGAAUAAUAAUACCUAAUAAAAUAACUCCUAUAGAAUCAUUUAUAAAUACAAUAUCAAAAAUAUAUUUUCAAAGAUGGUAUACAAAUAUAAAAAUUAUAGUUGAAGAUUUUGAAAUAGAAAUAGUAGCAUUAAUAGACUCAGGAGCUGAUAUGAAUUGUAUUCAAGAAGGAAUAAUUCCUACUAAAUAUUAUGAAAAAACAGGACAAGAACUUUUUGCUGCAAAUAAAGGAAAAUUAGAAAUAAAAUAUAAACUUCAAAAUGUUCAUAUAUGUCAAGAUAAUUAUUGUUUUAGAACUCAAUUUAUAUUAGUACAAAAUAUGAAUGAACCUCUAAUAUUAGGAACUCCUUUUAUUACCUUACUUUACCCUUUUCAAGUAAAUGAUGAAGGUGUCAAAACUACAAUAUUAGGAAAUACCAUAUUUUUUCCCUUUAUAUAUCCAUUAACUAAAAAAGAAAUACAUCAAGUUCAAAGUGAUUCAAUAAAUAAGAACAUAAAUUUAAUUCAAAGAAAGAAAGCUCAUAUAAAUUAUCUAUCAAAAGAAAUUCAAUAUAAAACUUGUUCUACAAUUUAUAAUUUAAUAGUAAAUUUUAAUUUUAUAAUUAAACUAUUUAAGAAUAAUAAAUAAAAAUAUUAUAUCAUACAAUUAAAUAUACUAAGCAAUUUGUAUUUUACUAUAUAUUUUAUACUUAUUUUUCAGUCAAAUAAAUAAUACUGAAAUUAUUGUUAAUGGCAUUAAAUACAAAUUUAAUGGGAAACAGGAUCUCAUGCUUGUUAGGUUAUCCAUGGGGAAUAAAACAGCCUAAGGUCGAUCCUAAAAAUCCUAAACUUAGAACUUAGUUUAGGGAGAAUUUUGUUUUGAGCCUAGUUGGGCCAAAAAAAUUGACUAAAGAUCCAUAUAUCAUGCACAUUUAAACCCAAGACACCAAAUAAAGUGUAAAAAUUAAGUUUAUGGAUAUUAUCCUUCAUUAAUCUUUAAAAUAGCUUUAACCCCUAUAUAGACACAUAGUGAGUGUAAAUUUCAAAUUUUUUUUUUUUUUUGUGUUGUUUUCCCUUUUCUAUUCCCAAUUAAAUAUUACUCAUUUCUAACUUUUUUAUUUUUCUUUUUUAAAGAUAUUGAAUCUUUUUACUCUUAUUAUAAGUAAGAAUAAAAAAAUUUCAUAUAAAAUUUAAUGGAUAAUCAAUGAAUGAAAUUUAAUUCUUUUUAUUAUUUUUAUAUAAAAAUAGUAUUAAACAAGGUUUUCAAUUUUUAUUUUUAAAAAUAGUUUUCAUUUUUUAAUUAAAUGUUUUUUCAAAAAGAAAAUAUAAAAAAUAUAAAUCAUAUUACCAUUUUUUUAGAAAGUAUUUUUAAAAAUAGUUUUUGAAAGUAAUUUUUCUUUAUUUAUAAUUUAAAAUAGAAAAUAAAGCUAAUUUUCAAUUAUUUAUAAAAAAAAAGUUUUAAAAAACAAUGAAAAAUCCAAAUGGUUAAAAUAGAAUUAUUAUGGUUGAAUGAAUAGUGGUGCAAUAAAAACCAAAAAAUCUUAUGUGAAAGGUCAAUGAGUAUUUUGAUCUUUUGAUAUCAUAUAUCAUUUCUAUCAAUUAUGUAAGUUAUAUGAACCAAAUCUUAAUUUUUGGACAUAGUUGGACCUAAAACACAAUUGUCCCCUUAGUUAAUGUGCAUAGACCUGUUAUUGUCUCAAGGUGGGUAGAAGAAUUGGUGACAUUAUUUGGAAGAAUGAUCAAUAAAGACGAAGAUGACUUUGUUUUCUUUGGUUGACUUUGAAACAUUGGAGUAGAAUUUGUGUCUUUCUUAGAAUGAGAGAUGACAUGGUUAAAAUAACAGUACAUAGUUAGCAAGAUCAAGGAAACAAAGUUUAAGUUGGUGACUCCAUGGUUUCAGUUGAUGUGUGGCAAAUAAUGGGUCAAUUGUCCAUUUGUAAACAUAUGAGUUCACCAAACCUUGGACUUGGAAACUCUCCAACUAUCUCAUUACUGGAAGGAAGACGACGACUAGAGUUCUCUAUAUGUAGCUUUGUUAAGUUUGAUUCAUUCUUAUGGUCAAAGUCUAUGUCGCUUUACCUCAUUGGAAAAAAAAGAAAAAAAAAACAAAUCCUUGAAGAAUUGUUUGUCUAGAAUGAUUUGAACGUUUGUUGAGUGGUCUUGUCAUUGGAAGAUUAUUAGGGAAUGAAAAUGACUACCGUUUUUAUUUUUAUUUUUUAUUUUCAUUUUUAUAUAUAGCCUUCUUGAGUUUGAUUCACUCUUAAGGUCAAGGUCUUUCAAUUGAUUGUGUCUUGUGUGAUUUGAAUGCAUGUUAACUCUAGUGGUUGGGUGACAACUCCGAUCGCCUAUUCUUUAUUUCAUUUGGAAAAAAAUUGCAUUCAACAGUUUGAAUGCCUGUUGAGUCAAGUGGUUGCCUAGCAACUUGUACAGUGUAUAUUAUUUUACAUUCUAUCAACUCUAGGUUUUUUAAGACAACCAUCCAUCCAUUCUAGGUUCAAACUUCAAAGAAGCCUUUACAGCUUUAAGACAAUCACCCGAGAAUAUGAAACCAAAUAGAUAAAUACCUUUCAUGAUUAUGGACCAAAGCUACAUUAGGGUUAGGGAUUGACUUUAUACCAUUUAUAACAAUCCGUUUCUAAUAGUGUGUAUAUUAUUCGUUCUGGACCCAAAAAGAUCCUUACGGUUUUGAAAUGCGUUCAUAUAAUUAAGAGGAACUCAUAUUUAUUCAACGUUGAAACUUUCUUUGUUCUCAUAUGUGAGAUAUCUCAAUUGUUACGAGACAGGGACAAACAUGGUUUUGAGGGUUAGUCUUGUAAUCAUCUUUAUGUUACAGAUCCUAUAUUCCUAUUUACAUUUAAUUUUUUGUAGACCUGAUCCAUGAGAACGGAGACUUGGAGAAGUCUUCCACUCCCUUUGAAAGGGCUAUUAUUAGGUAAAACAAUGGUAAGACUUUUUGUCUGUGAAGACUUGACUUGGGCUUGUUCCAGACUGGUGAAGGCACUUUCCCCUACUUCACUUUGGAAAAAAUGCACUUUUGGGUUUUGAGUUGACUGCAUUGACUUGAUACAAGUUUACAAUAAUGGCCGAGCUGAUCAAACUUACAAUUAUUAUGCAGUUUUGUUGUUGCCAAAACUUGUUACAUAUACUGGGGAUGAAGAUAACUUGUAAUCCUUUUGUUUUAUGAUAUCAGAAGUUUUUGUUUAGGCCCUUGAUAUCCAUCUUAGGCUUAAUUUUGGUGCUAUGUAUUCUUGAAAACGAAGCUGAUUGUGACUACCAUAUAUUUAGUGGAUGGCCUUGUUUUUGUUGCAUGUAUCAGUUUUGGUGAAAAUUUUGGACUCUCACUUGUAGAAUUAGAAAGGAAGCUUCGGGGAUUUGACAUUUCUUUUCUCUGGUUUGAUCAAUCCAUUUGAGCUCACCAAAUUUGACCCUUUUUAAUGGGUCACACCUCAGCUCUUCAUAAGUUUAUGGUAGGCCAAGAUUUGCCUUGGUUCCCUUUACUUUCGAGUAUAUAUGUAGCCUUUUUUUUUUUAGUAUGAAAAUCACAAUAGCUUCAUAAUAAAGCUAACUAGGGUAAAGUUUUUACCUUAAAAUAAAUAAAAAAUUGUUCUCAUUAGCAGUUUUUUGCAGGACAAGAAAAAUAUCGAAGAAAACAGGUGUUAUACGAGAAAACGGAAACUUGAACAUGAAUAAACCAUUAAUCUCAUUGUUUAACAAUGCUAUAUUUAGAACAUCAAAUCUUUGAUGUUCAAGCCUUCAAUCCUCUUAUCCUUGCACAUUGUCAGCCGGUACCCGAGGUGCAAUUUUCUAUUCACCCACAAAAAGUCUUUUUGAUAUUUUUACAACUUUAUCAAUUACUCGAACGAAAUUUAGUUAUGGAAAAGAACUGGGACUUUUGAAGAUGCAUUACAUUGUGUUGAAGAUGCAGGAGGUUCGAAACCAUGCAUUAUUGGUAGACUAGGUAGAGUUCCACUCAAAUUAUUUCUUACCUUGCUAAAUUCUCUGUGACAACAUCUGAGAAAUAAUCUCCAUGGUUGGCCUGGAUUGUGGAUUGGCAUUUAAACAUGCAGUUGCGAGCUUUAUGAUAGCUACCACUUCCCCUUCGUCUUGGGGUGUGAGAGGUGGGAGUCGCGGGUCCAACAUGUCUUUCAACACUAUGUUCUUCUCUGGGGAAACUGAUAUAGACAAGAUUUGAUCUCCAGGAUGUCUUCCUUUGAUAACUUCCAGUGCUAUCACUCCAAAGCUAUAGACAUCGGUUUUUUCUGUGACCUUCAUUGUAUAAGCAUGCUCUGCAAAAUUAGAAGAUAAAUAUUACAUCGUGAGCAUGUUAGAUUUCUUUGUUAGUUGAGGAGUGAAGUGUACCUGGUGCAACGUAUCCGACUGUGCCUGCAAGUUUGCUCUGAUUUGAUGAGUCUACCUUAAGAAGCUUGGCAGUGCCCAAGUUAGAAAUAUGAGCCUCAUAUUGAGAAUCCAGCAGAAUAUUGUUGCUCGAUAUAUCCCGAUGAACAAUCGGGGGUGAGCAAUCAUGGUGCAUGUAAGACAAAGCGUGAGCCACUCCUUUGAUGAUCUUGACCCUUGUAGCCCAACCCAAUUUUUUAGCUUCUUCUCUGCUCAAGAUUGUAGCCAAGCUACCUCUUUCAAGGUACUCAUAGACCAAAAAGGAGUGUCGUGGAUAUGAACAGAAACCAAGAAGUCUCACAAUGUUUCGAUGCUUGAUCUCUGUCAUUGCCCUUACUUUAUUCAAGAAAUCCUUUUGAUUUGCCAUAUCCAUGUCGGAUGGGUGAAGCUUCUUCACAGCUACUAUAUUACCUGAUGGCAGCUCUGCUUUGUAAACGCUUCCAUGCCCUCCCUUUCCGAUGCAAUACAUGGGAUCAAAGUCCUUGGUGGCCUUUAUAAUCUCUUCAUACAUUGCUCUUCCAUCAAAAGUUGAUAUUGAGAGGAGAUUAUUCUGUACAUCACCUUCUUCGAUUUCUGGAGUUCUCUCUCUUCUUUCAGCAAUCAAGAAAAUCCCAAUGAAAGCAGAAAGAAGUACAAGUGCUCCCAAAAGAGGGAAUAUGAUAAUAAACACAACUUUGUGGCUCUUUUUGACAGGUUGUUGGUCUACUCCAAAACCAUAUUUGCAAGGUUGCAACCCUUUAACAUUGCCGCACAAAUCUUUGUUCCCCUUUAGCACCUCAAUGGUAGCAUUUCGAAAUGCAUUGCUGUGAGGAAUGGGACCCUGCAACUGAUUGUAGGAAAUGUCAACAUACGACAAGGCAGGCAUGUCCUCAAAAGCCUUUGGGAUGAAACCACAAAGGUUGUUAUGGGAGAGAUCAAGCAUCUCCAAACUCUCCAAACCUUGGAUCUGUGCCGGGAUGCCACCUGUAAGCAAGUUGUGACUCAGAUCUAGCUGGGAGAGGUGACUCAGCUUACCCAUCUGAACCGGAAUUCCGUGGCUGAGUUUGUUAUUGCUCAGGUUCAAGUAAUGCAAGUCCAAGCAGUCGCCCAAGUGCUCUGGUAUUGACCCAUUCAAUCUAUUGGCUGAAAGGUCUAGAUACUCAAGGUGGGACAGCGAUCCAAGUUCAGGAGGAAUACUCCCGGAAAGUUGGUUGUCAUUCAAUAUCAGCCCCAACAGAGAAGUCAAACUUCCCAUUUUCUUUGGAAUUUCCCCAACCAAAUGAUUUGAAGAAAGAUCAAGCAAGAUUAGAUUAGUUGAGAUUCCAAAAUCUUCUGGUAUGCUCCCUGUAAUAUUGUUCCCGGCAAUCUCCAGCCUUUGUAGUUGUGGGCAUCUUCCCCAGUUAUGAGAGAGUUCACCAUGAAACCUGUUGUAGCUCAAAUCGAUGAAUUCCAGGUUUGGACAGUCACCAACUACCUCAGAUACAUUUCCAGUGAGUCGGUUUCCCUGGAACAGAGCUCUGGUUAAGUUUCUGCAAUUUUUCAAGCUUUUGGGGAUGGGACCACUGAGAUGGUUGUCACUCACUGUAAAGCGCUCCAGAGAUCCACCUUGGCAAAUGCCUUCCGGUAAAGAGCCAAACAGCUGGUUUGUGUCGAUUUCUAGCACAACCAACUUAUGAAGUUUCCCAAUUUCUUGAGGAAAGUAACCAGAAAGACGGUUAUCACGGAGGAAUAAAAUUUCUAAGUUGGUUAGAUUACCCAGUGAAGUAGGAAUGGAACCAUUGAGUUGAUUUUCUGAAAGUUCUAGAUCAACAAGAGACUUCAAGUUACCUAUUUCUUGAGGAAUGGGACCGGAAAGUUGAUUGGCAUAGAGAUGCAGGAGGGUUAGGCCACUCAGAUCACAUAAUGACACAGGGAUUGGGCCUGAAAGAUUGUUUCCGUAGAGGCUUAGACCUUGCAGGGAUUUCAAAUUUCCUAUUUCUGGUGGGAUAGGCCCAGAGAGGCUAUUGUUGAACAAGUACAACACGGUUAAAUGUUUCAAAUUUCCAAAAGUGGAAGGGAUGGGACCUGUGAGAUUGUUGGUAUCCGAGUAUAGCUGAACAAGGUUGGUGAGAUUUCCCAUUUCUGGAGGAAUGGAACCCGAAAGUUGAUUUUCAUAGAGAUACAAAGAGGCCAAGUUGCUCAAAUUACCCAAAGAAGCAGGAAUAGAACCCUCCAGUUGGUUGGUGUACAAAGCAAGCUCAUAAAGAGACGUCAACUGACCUAUUUCAUGAGGAAUUGAACCAUUCAACUGAUUUUGAACCAGGUGUAAGACCUCAAGAUUAGUUAAUAGGCCGAUCUCGGGCGGAAUCCCUCCUGAGAACUGGUUGAUAGAGAGAUCAAGGUAUUUGAGCUUGGAGAGGAGACCGAUUUGGGGUGGGAUAGGACCAGAGAGGUUGUUCAUGCUGAUAUCAACAUACGCAAGAUUGGGAAAAGAUGAGAAUGAGAAGGCUUGGAGCGUACCUCCUAAACCCGACUCUGUGAGGUUUAUUCUGAUGACGCUCCCUGCAUGGUUGCAGGAUAUUCCGUACCAUUUGCAUGGACUGACUUCUGUUCCAAGGUGGGUAGAAGAAUUGGUGAAGUUGUUAGGAUAAAGAGUCCACGAAAGGAGGGAAGAAUGGUUAUGGUUGUGAAGGGUAGCUUUCCAUUUGAGGAGAGCUUGUGUUUCUUCAUUAGAAUAAGAAGAAACAUGGUCUGAAGAAAUCAACAUAACCAAGAGGAGCAAGGAAACAAGGGAGAGCAUUUUCUGUAAGGUUGAGGGUGCCAUGGUUUUGGUUGAUGAAUUGCAUAUGCUGCUUCACAACUUCAUUUAUACACAUUUGGUUCCUUUGUUCGUCCCACUCGGAAACUUCCUUGUUCACACUUCACACCAAUUAAAAUUCAGCCCUUUAAUGUCAAGAUUGAGGUCUUUUAAAGCAUGGCUCCCUUUUUCUUUCUUUUUGCCUGGGGUUCCCUUUCUACUAGCAUGGUGGUCUUCCUAUAUCUUUGUGGUCGUCGAAGUCUUCUCCGGUCUCUUUCAAAAUGAAUAAUGACGAUGAAGGUUGGUUGGAGACUAACGCUCUCUUUGACAAUUAUUUUGGACAACAGAGCAGGUUUAGUAAUAAAAAAAUUAUUUUUUAUUUUUUAUUCUUAAACACAGAAAAUGAUAUGUUUUUUAGGGACUUUUUUUUUAAUUAUCAUCAAUUAUUUUGAUUUGUUUUUUAAAAAUUAUUUUAAAAAAUAACUAUAAAAAAUGGAGAAUAAUUAAAAAAAAUGGACAAAAAUUUUAUUUUUAAAAAUAUUUAAAAACAUUAAAUAUGUGAUAAAAAUAUUUAAGAUUUCUAAAUACAUUUUUAUUUUACCAUUCAUCAAAGAACUGCCGUUAAAAACUGUUAUAAAAAAAUAGUUGUUAAAGAUAACUUAAUUUUAUUUGAAUCUUUGUUUUUAUCUUUACGAUGAUCUUCUUCUUUUACUCUUUGUAAAAGAAAACCGAACUUGAAAAUUUGUUUCAGUUAAGUAAUUAUAAAAGAAAAUUUUAGUCUACUUAAUAACUAAGUUGAUUUAUUAAAACUUAAUAAUUAAUAUUUACCCUAGGCUUGGUUUUUAGAAAAUUUUAAAUGAAUUGAAUAUGAAAAAAAAAUGAAGUUUUAAAAAGAAAAAAACAAAAUUUAAGUUAAUAAAUUAUUUUUAUAUGUUUUUAAAUUUUAUUUGAAUGAUUUAUUUUUAUAUAAAGAAUAAAUAAUUUAAAAAUGCUUAAAUUUUUAAAUGAUUUUAAUUAUAUUUAAUUUAUUUAUUUUUAUGUAUUUUACAUUUUAAUAUUUAUUAUAAUAUGAAAUAUCAUAUGUUUAUUAUUAUUUGAAAUUGCUUUACAAUUUAUAAUUUAAUAGGAAAUUUUAAUUUAUUUAUUGAUAGUAUUCAUAAUUAAACUAUUUAAAACUUAUAAAUAAAAAAUAGUAUAUUAUAUAAUUAAAACAAUUUGUAUAGAUUAAAAUACUGUAGUAAUGAUAUAUAUUAGUAUUUUACUGUGUAUUUUAUACUUAUUUUUCAGUUAAUUUAAUUUUAAUUUUAAUUUUUAAUUUUUAAUUUUAAUUAAAACAAUUUAACUUUAAUUUUUUAAUUAUUAUUUUUUUAACUUUUAAGUAAUAUAAAAAAAAUUAAAGAAAAAUAAAAGGAAAUGGAUAAGAAAAGUAAAUCCGUGAUUCGGCCCAUUCCAGUCCACAGUUACCGCCGACGACACCGACGUCAGUCAACCGGCAACCGCGACGCCGCCUCAGCAGCGCAGUCACUGCCGCCAUCUCCGGAAACUCCACAGCACCACUCCUUUCCACCCAGAUGCCACGCGCCGUCGCUCACGGCAUCUCCGCCCGUGGCCUUGCCAUUCAAGGCGCCGCUCCGUCGCCGACUCCUUCCACACCCACCCCAUUCACUAACGCCAAGACCACCAUGGUCUCGGCCACUGCCUCUGGUAGCCAACAUGGCUGCCAUCUUCAUCCUCCAUCUCACCUCUCCGCCGUACCCCACUACCAAUCUCCUUCGGCCUCCAUGAUCCCCAUCUCCGCCGCUGAACCCAUCACCCUACCGGCGCCAACAUCUUUUCUUCUUUAUUUAUUUAUUUAUUUAUUCCAGUGCUGCUCAUAUAUUUUGAUAUGUAAAUAUUUAAUUUGUUAAUUAGAAAAUACAUGAGUAGCAGUCUUGGUAGAUGAAUGGAUGAAUUUUCUGCAUGAGUAGCAGAGAUUUAUCUACUUCUAUUCACACAAAACCACACUUUAUUUCUUUGGGCACAAAGCCACAAUUUCUAUGAGUACAAAUCACACCGGGUACUUGAUGUAGAAAGAAAGACUAAACAAACUCAAAAGGCAUUACAUAGUGCUGAAGAUGCAGGAGGUUCGAAACCAUGUGUUACGGUAGACUAGGUAGAGUUCCCCACAAACUAAAUCUUACCUUACUACUUUCUCUGUGAUAACAUCUGAGAAACAGUCUGCAUGGUUGGCCUGGAUUGCGGGUUGGCUUUUAAGCAUUCAAUUGCUUGCUUUAGGAUAGCUAUCACUUCCCCCUCAUCCUGGGGUGUGAGAGGUGGGAGUCGGGGGUCCAACAUGUCUUCCAACGCUAUGUUAUCCUUCUCUGGGGAAACUGAUAGAGACAAGAUCUGAUCUCCAGGAUGUCUUCCUUUGAUAACUUCCAGUGCUAUUACUCCAAAGCUAAAGACAUCAGUUUUUUCGGUCACCUUCAUUGUAUAAGCAAGCUCUGCAAAAUUAAAAGAUAAAUAUUAUAUCGUGGACAUGUUUCAUACCUUGUUUAAUUCAAGAGUGAACCGUACCUGGUGCAAGAUAUCCGAAUGUGCCUGCAAGUAUGCUCUGAUUCGAUGAGUCUAGCUUUAGAAGCUUGGCAGUGCCGAAGUCAGAAAUAUGAGCUUCAUACUGAGAAUCCAGCAGAAUAUUGUUGCUUGAUACAUCCCGAUGAACAAUAGGGGGUGAGCAAUCAUGGUGCAUGUAAGCCAAAGCAUGAGCCACUCCUUUAAUGAUAUUGACCCUUGUAGCCCAACCCAAUUUCUUAGCUUCUUCUCUGCUCAAGAUUGUAGCCAGGCUACCUCUUUCAAGGUACUCGUAGACCAAAAACUUGUGUCGUGGAUGUGAACAGAAACCAAGAAGUUUCACUAUGUUUCGAUGCUUGAUUUCUGUUAGUGCCCUUAUUUCAUUUAAGAAAUCCUUUUGAUUUGCCAUCUCUGUGUCGGAUGGGUGAAGCUUCUUCACAGCUACUAUAUUACUUGAUGGCAGCUCUGCUUUGUAAACACUUCCAUGGCCUCCCUUUCCUAUGCAAUACAUGGGAUCAAAAUCCUUGGUGGCCUUUAUAAUCUCUUCAUACAUUGUUCUUCCAUCAAAAUUUGAUAUUGAAAAGAGAUCAUUCUGUACGUCACCUUCUUCGAUUUCUGGAGUUCUCUCUCUUCUUUCAGCAAUCAAGAAAAUCCCAAUGAAAGCAAAAAGAAGUACAAGUGCUCCCAAAAGAGGGAAUAUGAUAAUAAACACAACUUUGUGGCUCUUUUUGACAGGUUGUUGGUCUACUCCAAAACCAUAUUUGCAAGGUUGCAACCCUUUAACAUUGCCGCACAAAUCUUUGUUCCCCUUUAGCACCUCAAUGGUAGCAUUUCGAAAUGCAUUGCUGUGAGGAAUGGGACCCUGCAACUGAUUGUAGGAUAUGUCAACAUACGACAAGGCAGGCAUGUCCUCAAAAGCCUUUGGGAUGAAACCACAAAGGUUGUUAUGGGAGAGAUCAAGCAUCUCCAAGCUUUGCAAACCUUGGAUCUGUGGCGGGAUGCCACCUGCAAGCAAGUUGUGACUCAGAUCUAGCUGGGAGAGGUGACUCAGCUUACCCAUCUGAACCGGAAUUCCGUGGCUGAGUUUGUUAUUGCUCAGGUUCAAGUAAUGCAAGUCCAAGCAGUCGCCCAAGUGCUCUGGUAUUGACCCAUUCAAUCUAUUGGCUGAAAGGUCUAGAUACUCAAGGUGGGACAGCGAUCCAAGUUCAGGAGGAAUACUCCCGGAAAGUUGGUUGUCAUUCAAUAUGAGCCCCAACAGAGAAGUUAAACUUCCCAUUUUCUUUGGAAUUUCCCCAACCAAAUGAUUUGAAGAAAGAUCAAGCAAGGUUAGAUUAGUUGAGAUUCCAAAAUCUUCUGGUAUGCUCCCUGUAAUAUUGUUCCCGGCAAUCUCCAGCCUUUGUAGUUGUGGGCAUCUUCCCCAGUUAUGAGAGAGUUCACCAUGAAACCUGUUGUAGCUCAAAUCGAUGAAUUCCAGGUUUGGACAGUCACCAACUACCUCAGAUAUAUUUCCAGUGAGUCGGUUUCCCUGGAACAGAGCUCUGGUUAAGUUUCUGCAAUUUUUCAAGCUUUUGGGGAUGGGACCACUGAGAUGGUUGUCACUCACUGCAAAGCGCACCAGAGAUCCAGCUUGGCAAAUGCCUUCCGGUAAAGAGCCAAACAGCUGGUUUGUGUCGAUUUCUAGCACAACCAACUUAUGAAGUUUCCCAAUUUCUUGAGGAAUGUAACCAGAAAGUUGAUUAUCACGGAGGAAUAAAAUUUCUAAAUUGGUUAGAUUACCCAGUGAAGUAGGAAUGGAACCAUUGAGUUGAUUUUCAGAAAGUUCUAGAUCAACAAGAGACUUCAAGUUUCCUAUUUCUUGAGGAAUGGGACCGGAAAGUUGAUUGGCAUAGAGAUGCAGGAGGGUUAGGCCACUCAGAUCACAUAAUGACACAGGGAUUGGACCAGAAAGAUUGUUUUCGUAGAGGCUUAGCUCUUGCAGGGAUUUCAAAUUUCCUAUUUCUGGUGGGAUAGGCCCAGAGAGGCUAUUGUUGAACAAGUACAACACGGUUAAACGUUUCAAAUUUCCAAAAGUGGAAGGGAUGGGACCUGUGAGAUUGUUGUUAUUCGAGUAUAUCUCAACAAGGUUGGUGAGAUUUCCCAUUUCUGGAGGAAUGGAACCCGAAAGUUGAUUUUCAUAGAGAUACAAAGAGGCCAAGUUGCUCAAAUUACCCAAAGAAGCAGGAAUAGAACCCUCCAGUUGGUUGGUGUACAAAGCAAGCUCAUAAAGAGAUGCCAACUGACCUAUUUCAUGAGGAAUUGAACCAUUGAGCUGAUUUUGAACCAG
rnacentral:lncRNA from 1 species